CUAUGCUAAAUGAUUGUAAUUUUCAUGAAUCUGUCCAUUUUGACAGCUUUGACUUAUCUCCAUACUUAAGAUAUUCAUUUUCUUGUGGUCUAGUGGUUAAUCUAGUGAAGAAAUUCAAGUGCAACAUGAAUAUGUAUAUUGGAUAUUUGAUUUUAUCAUUUCUAAAGAGAUUUAUUGUUUCAUGAUACUAAUGAUUUAGCAGAUGUGAAAUAUUUCAGAUUUUUGGUGGAUCUGAACAUACUCUACGUGAAAAACUCACAAGAAUCACAUGGAAACAUCACAAAGGAAGCUGGACCUGUAAGCAUGAUUUUCACCAUACUAAUGUAUAAUGCUUCAAAGCUUCAGGGUGCAACAACAUAAAGGAUGACAACUACUGAGAAAAUGGUGGGCAUGUAUGUGUUGUGUGGUAACAAGACAGGAACAUUAAGCGUGUUCAGCUGAAAGGACAUUAAGC